GCGUGAGCCACCGCGCCCGGCCGAUGGGCAGCCAGGUGUGCUCCGGGAGGAGGAGGACACCCUGGAAAGACAGUGGGGCCAGACACUGAACUGCCUUUGGAAGCAAGUAGGAGCAACAGCGAAGGUUUGCUGGCUCAGAAGCAAGGUCUCGCUGUGUUACCCGGGCUGGAGUGCAGUGGCUACUUACAGACAUGAUCAUAGCAUACUGCAGCCUCGAACUCCUGGACUAAAGCAGUUCUCCUGCCUCAGCCUCCAGAGCAGCUGGGACUGCAGACAUGCACCACAGAGCCCAGCCUGAGUCAUUUUGAUUCUGUAACUGGUGUCCUCUCGGCGGGCUGGCUCACACCCUCCACCACCAGCUGGAGAUGGAAGGAGGAUGCUCACUGUUCAUUCCUCAUGCAGGCCAUCGAUGGAAAUGUCAGACAGUGCGAGUCCACACCUGAACAGUUCUGGGGUCCGCUCUGGGACUGACACUGGCAGAUCCAUCGUGGCACCCGAGCUCUGUGAGGGCAAGACUUUGUUCGGCUGUGGGCUAUGCCCCCAACCCCUCGGACAGUGCCUGCACAGGUGGGCAUUUUUGUUGGAUGAAGGAUUUUCUGUUAAAUGUGUCCAGCACACACACACAAAAAUAAAGCCCAGCAGAUGCUGUUCCAUUGUUUGCUGACUUGCAUCGUUUCUAUGAGAAGUCUGCAGUCUUUUGCAGCAUUGUUUUCCUAUGUAUGCUUGUCUCCUCCCACCCCA
rnacentral:lncRNA from 1 species